AUGCCCCGUUUUGUUCCCCCGGUGGACUCACUGUACCAUCGGUACGCUCAAGCCCAGCGACGGUUCACGUGGGAGAGAGUCCGAACAAGGGCUGGCAUAAAGGUUCUACCAGAGGAACGGGAUCAGGAAGGGCUCCCCACUUGUAUCUAUGAGGCUAUGAUGGCAUGGAUGCAAUCGCACCUGAGACUUCAAGGAAUAACAGUCCGUUUGUCAUCUCGUGAUCUUCAAGUCAAAGAGCAAGCGUUGAUGGGUGGGGAGCUUGACAGGACGGUACGCUGUAUGACAGUGGUCACCAAAGUGGGUAUUCUUAGUGCGGAUGACUUUCAAAAUCAGAACCUUGCUGGCGUCAAAUAUGUGGUGGAGGGGGUCGUGUCAUUCUUCUCGCUGAACAAGCAGGCGAUCGAGUGUGCAGUCGAAGCAAUGCACAGGGGUCCACUGUUGCUUGUUUUCCACUGUGGCGAGAAUUACCACGAGUACGUGGGCAAAUACAAGGGCAAGCCAAUCCUCAGCUACGAGAAGUAUGUUCACGAGAAGAUGCUUACACAUGCUGUCAACUCCAUCGGCUAUGGUGUGGAGGGGUUCGUGCCAAACUGGGAAUUCAUGAACUCGUACGGCAGGAAGAUUGGACCGAGAGGCAGGCUGCUGCCGCAGAAUGCCAUACGCCUGUAUGGGAUGGGCAGGGUUCGCCCCGUGGUGCAUGCGGUUCCGGUGCAGGUUGCCGUCGUGGAUUCAAGGAAGAGAAAGAGGGAGAUCACAGAGGAAGUUGAUGACGACGAGGAUGAUGAUGAUGAUGCUCGCGAGCCUCCGUUGAAGAAGCCGAUGCUGGAGAAGAUUGAUUGGAUGGACAUAGAUUAG
rnacentral:rRNA from 1 species